UACAGAGGGGGCUAGCAUUAUUCGGAAUUACUGGGCAUAAAGCGCACGUAGGCAGAUCGGAAAGUUGGGGGUGAAAUCCCAGGGCUCAACCCUGGAACUGCCUUCAAAACUCCCGGUCUGGAGUUCGAGAGAGGUAAGUGGAAUUCCGAGUAUAGAGGUGAAAUUCGUAGAUAUUCGGAGGAACACCAGUAGCGAAAGCAGCUUACUGGCUCGAUACUGACGCUGAGGUGCGAAAGCGUGGGGAGCAAACAGG
rnacentral:rRNA from 1 species